GCGGCGCGCUUUCCAGCACUGCUUCUGCUCUGCUUCACUGUAAUUUUUCUGCCAACACUGCUAAACACUGCGGUAGUGUUGCCUUUAAGAAAAUCGUAAUAUAUCCAACGUGCAACUAACUUAUUUUAAACAUAAAAUGCCCGAAGGCUGUGCCAAACGCAUGUCCUUUUGCCUAUGGUGAAUGGAAUUAAAUGAAAUUCAAUCAAAUGCAAGCCAAGGAUAACGAAAGGAUCCGAUCGGAGUUCCACACGUAACGGUUUUCGUUUUUUGUUGUUGUGUUGUGCCAGUGUGUGUGUGUGUGUAUGUGUGUGUAUUAAAGACAAGUAAAGGGAUACUGAUACUGUGUAUAUAGAGGAUAUAUUAAAAAUAUCGCCAAUUUCCAGUGCAGUCCACUGUGCCACCCACAAAAAUGUGAAAUUCCCAAAAAAAAAAUAACGAAAAUAAAUAAAUAAAUUAAAGAAAUUAUUAAACCCAAGCCGAAACGUAACGUAACGUAACGCAAAGUAACGUAACGCACACGUAAAUGUAACCAAAACUGCCCCAAAA